rnacentral:rRNA from 1 species
GAUGAACGCUGGCGGCGUGCCUAAUACAUGCAAGUCGAGCGAACAGACGAGGAGCUUGCUCCUUCGACGUUAGCGGCGGACGGGUGAGUAACACGUAGGUAACCUACCUAUAAGACUGGGAUAACUUCGGGAAACCGGAGCUAAUACCGGAUAAUAUUUCGAACCGCAUGGUUCGAUAGUGAAAGAUGGCUUUGCUAUCACUUAUAGAUGGACCUGCGCCGUAUUAGCUAGUUGGUAAGGUAACGGCUUACCAAGGCAACGAUACGUAGCCGACCUGAGAGGGUGAUCGGCCACACUGGAACUGAGACACGGUCCAAACUCCAACGGGAGGCAGCAGAAGGGAAUCUUCCGCAAUGAGCGAAAGCCUGACGGGGAAACGCCGCGGGAGGGAUGAAGGUCUUCGGUUCGUAAAACUCUGUUAUUAGGGAGAAACAAACGUGGAAGUAACUGUGCACAUCGUGACGGUACCUAAUCAGAAAGCCACGGCUAACUACGUG